UGAUGUAGAUGUUGGAGCAGAAGGAAGCUGAAAGGAAACAGAGGGGCAUUGUGCCCGGAAUGCGGGGAAUCGGCAGCACGCAGCGCAGCGCUGGCGCAGCUCAAACCCGGACAUUAAAACCUACACGUGGGCUUUGAAAAUGCGGAGCGGGAGCGGCUAGCUGCCAUUGAGGCAGGGUCAAAGGACGUGCUUUGAAACAGAUCUCAGCUUCAAGGCUGAAAAAGGGGUUAUGUGAAAAAUCGGGGAACUUGCAGAGAUCUAAUGAAGAGUUGCCUCAGGCAAGAGAAGGAACUACUUAUUUAAAUCCAAAGAGCCUGGAUUUACAACAAGACCAAGUUGAGUUACAGCAGCGAUGUGAGACUGGAAAUAAGGCUUGCACCGAAAAGCUGUACAACAGCCAAACCCAGAGCUGAGUACGUGGCUGAGGGAGGAGAGACUGCAGAAGCGUUUUAGAUGCUUCAUCAGAAGCAGACAGUUGAGAUGCCAAAGCAGCUUUCUCUGGCCUUUGUCCUGCCCUGUGUUUGAGAUGACUGCAGUGAGUCUGGGUGCUGGAGAUUGAGAAGCAGCUUUUCUGUCUAGCCAUUACACAUCGUUCAGACAGACAAUGCUGCUGAAGUGUGAAGUAAUUGAGAGCUGUGCAGGGUGAGUUAUAUCAGCUAAGCUCGAGGCCAGCAGCAUCUGUCACAAGAUCUGGCAACAAGUCAGUCACAUCCCAUGGCUGUGCGAUGGAUCCCAGCAUGGUGAUCACUGAUCCUUUCCCAAUCAUCAGGCUUCUUGCCUUUCUCUAGAGGAGAGCGUGUGGCUCUCAGGAUGCUACCUGCUGUGGCCACAUAGGUUUCCAAGGGACACCAGCCAGAUGGGUAAGUCAAACUCGUCCUGUCAUACUUUAAAAAAUAGCCUGAUGAAAUGCCUGCCCACCCAGCUAGGAGCGGUGAGAGUCCCUCCCAGGUCAGGAUGCUGAUCUGGUUGAAACCUAAGAACUACCCUCCCAUCUCCUCCAGUUAAUAAAGAUGUGGACAAUGGUGCAACUGCACUUUCUCUGGGAGUCAGAAGGACAUAAAUUCUUUGUGGCAAAGGACACUGACUGUGCAGAUGCAGGAGUCACCUCCCACAUCCCACACACGGGGUUUCUACCCCUUUUGAGAGAGUUUAACCAAAACUAUUCUGUUGCUCUAACAACACACCCUUCAUCAAUCUGCCAGUUUCACUUGUCCGGUGCAGCUAUUCCCAGAGCACAGACCUCAAGGCACUGCUGUACCCACCAGCCUGUGUUUGCAGCUGCCUGUCAGACAGUGAUUCCUAACGUGGUAGUAAAAUUAUUAACAUUUAACAUUUGAGAGGUCUGGAUGACGAGUUUAACCCAGUGAAAAGAACGUUCCUUUCAGCUGAAAGCUAACAGUCCGCAGCUGUUCCCAGCUCCCCACUUCUGAGCUAAGAUAAUACAGGGCAUCUCAUCCCUAGUGGACUCCACCAAGAGCCCUCUCUCCAUUUCUUCAUGUUAUUUGCCACUUGAUUCCUUCUUGCAACUGCAGUAGUUGAAACAAUUGUUUUUCCUCACAUAUUUGUUUGGUGGAUUUUGGUUUUGUUUUGUUUGUCUGUUUGUUUGUUUCUGAAACCAUAUACAGGUUGGGUAUCUGCAACCACCUGACAGGCAGCAGCAGAGCAGAGGAGAGGAUGCUGUCUGAGCAUUCUGGCACCAGGAUACUAGUUAUUAAAAGAUUCAGUCUGGCCAGCCCUGAAUUGCACUUGUGUUACUACAUACUUGCACACCCCACAUCUCCAACACUAACAUUAUGAGGUGAUCUGUAUUUGUCUGGAAAGAUUGGGAAUGGGUGCUGUAAGGUAUCUUUACAUUGCAGCUGUAAGGAACAUAUUCUGGACAGUUCCAGCACUUCAAAAAUCAUUAGAGUGUAUUAAAUCUGUAGCUGUGAAAUCCCUUUCUAGAUGGAAAACUGAAGUCUACAAGAUUUAUUUAUUUUAAAGACAGUGCUGAUGUAUUUAACAAUAUAUUGAAUACAGAAUGCUUUCUGUAAGCCACAGAUGGCUUCAAACAAUAGCUCAGACAACAGCUCCAAGAUCCGUCCAGUGAACCUCACUGGUUCAACUCAGAAACUUAAAGAUGGUUAUUCAAGUUACAGUAUUGUUAGCUACUUCUAUGUUAGUGUCUCUUUUGCAGAUUUUUUUUUUACUACUAGAACACAAUUAGCUCUAAUGUCUUUCACUGAUCAUUAAAUUUAUCUUAUCGCUAGCCUCAAGUUUGUAUGUCCCCAUUACUGACUGGAACCACAAACAUCUGUUGUGUAUUUAAAACAAGAGUGUAGUCUGAAUUAACUGUAUCAUAAAUCAGAACAAGUCUGACUUGUAUUAAUCCUCUGCAGAUGUGUUUUGUUUGUAAUGCUCAUCUCCUUUUAAGAAUCCGUUUGUGAAUUCUGUGGCAGCAGGACCAACUCAGUCAUUUGUGUAAUCCAUGCCUCCAUAAAACACAACAAGGGUAAGAAAUCUGGGUAUUAAAGUGAAGAUUUCAGUGCAUACAUCUAAAAAUAUUUUUCUCCUAAAUAAGUACAUAACUCAGCAAAAUAUCAGGAUGCUACUACAACAUGCACUGUAUGAAUACCUACUGGGUAAGAGUUAUUCCAGAGCUUAAAACUGAGCUGCUGUUUGAUAGUAAAAGCACAGAAGAGAGCUGUCUGCCUGUGGUGUUUGGCAGGAGACCUCGAAGUCUGUUGGAUACCAGUUCCUUUAGCACAGGUUUUGAAGGACAUAUCUGCCUACCAGCUGGGCUGUAUGGUCAAUAUUACUCCUCAUUUUUUAAUUAAUCAAUAAAUUUUUUUUUCUUUUUCUUUUUUUUCCCUACAAAUGGUGGUAUGGCUAGGAAAUUCAGCACUUUUACCAGGACACCUUCCGUUCAUCAUCACUUACCUUGCUUUGCUUUGAUCUCUCUCCCCAACCCUCACAAUCAUAUUCUCUGGAUCUGCUAAAGCAACAUUGGCCAGCUUGAAAUCUUUUCCUGUAAACACACUGCCUUUGCAAUAAGGUGUGAAGCACUGUCCAAAUACAAAGAACACGUGGACUGUUUGAAUAAGUAGCUGGGGCUUUGGCAGAGCUUUUGGAAGCCGUGAGCACUGAAGGUGCUGAGUGUCUCACUUUGUUCUAUUUCAGUUACAUCUUGUGGAUAGGCAAGACUGCAGGACGAGGUGAGAUCUGACCUACCACACUUGCUGGGACUGCACUUAAAUCACACAGCAGAAAUAAAGCUACUCAAGGGGUACUUUUAGGGGGUUCAACCC
ensembl:lncRNA